ACUAGAGUAGCACUCGCAUAUCAAUAAGCGGAGGAAAAGAAACUAACAAGGAUUCCCCUAGUAACGGCGAGUGAAGCGGGAAGAGCUCAAAUUUGAAAUCUUAAAGGGUUUCCCUUUACGAAUUGUAGUUUAAAGAAGUGUUUUCUGUUGAGGUUUUGGUAAAAGUUCUUUGGAAUAGGACAUCAUAGAGGGUGAGAAUCCCGUAUUUGACCUUUACUUUCAACUUUGUGAUACACUUUCAAAGAGUCGGAUUGUUUGGGAAUGCAGUCCAAAAUGGGUGGUAAAUUUCAUCUAAAGCUAAAUAUUGGCGAGAGACCGAUAGCGAACAAGUACCGUGAGGGAAAGAUGAAAAGAACUUUGAAAAGAGAGUUAAACAGUACGUGAAAUUGUCAAAAGGGAAGCGUUUGACACCAGUGUUGUUUUUCUGAAAAUCAAUUAAAGAACUGUUUAUGCUAAGUUGUUUAGACUUUAUCAGCUAACUGUUUAGUUUUGAGCUUUUCUUUAAUGCACUUUUCAGUUAACAAGUCAACAUCAAUUUCUUUUGCUGUAAAAAAGCUUGAGGAAGGUGGCUUGAGAUUCGUCUUAAGUGUUUAUAGCCUCUUGCCUAUGCAGUCGGAGAGAUUGAGGUCUGCAGCGUAGAUCCUUCGGGGCUAAAUGCAUUUGUGCUAAGUUAUAGCAUUUUAUAGACAACUUGUUGACUAUGAUUUGUCUUGUAGCUUACUCGCUUAUGUUAUUUUACCUACGCUUAGGAUGUUGAGCGCAUGUCUCUCUCU
rnacentral:rRNA from 1 species